rnacentral:lncRNA from 1 species
AUGAAAGAAAAUAUUCUCCAAUUUUUUAAAUUUGAUUGGCUUAAAUAUUUUAAAAAAUCUUAAGAACUUAUUUUCCUCUAAUAAUAGAAAAAUGAACAACCUAGAAAAAGUUGUAAAAUUUUUUUUUGAAACUCUCUAUCCAUAUUGCAAACCCUUCUUCAACCAACAUCAUCUCACCCAACCCAUCUUGCCAACCCCACAACUCAAUCAAAGCCAUCUUCCUCCCUCUCUCUCUCCACCUCGCACCACCGGACAACCUAACACAUCUAUCCCACCACUUUCUACCACCCUUUCACUACGACUACCCUUGAUACUCCACUAAUUCGAUCACAGCUCCCACCUCGACUCCAUAUCCACCAUGCCUAAUCGUACUGAUCUACUCCUAAUCCAACCUCGACCUCGACCUCGACUCUCUACCCCAAUCACGGCCUUCUACCUCAAUUUGUGACCCAACCCCGACCAUGACCCCUGAUCCUCGACUCUAACCCUAAACCCUCAACCCCGACCCUGAUCUUGAACCUUACUCGACCCCCACCUGUAAUCCCCCAAGUCGAACCUCACCUUCAAACCCAACUGUAACCAUUAAAGGUCGGGGAGUGAGGGUUGGGUUAAGGAUCGCUAUUAGGAUCAGGUCGGACUAAGGGUUAGGAAUGAUCAAGGGUCGGUGUCAAGACUGGGAUCGGAGAUUAGAGGCUGAUGGUCGGAGGUCAAGGUCGGGAUCGAGGCUGGGGGUCGAAGUCAAGAGUCAAGGUCAGGUCGGGUUCAAGUUUGGGUUCGAGAGUCGCAGAUUAAGGGUUAGGGUCGGGGUUGGGUUGGGUUCAGCUAUCACUGUUGGAUUGAGUUAGGAGUUAGGCGUCGAGGUCGGAGUCAGGAAUCGGGGUUAGGGUUGAGGUCGUGGUCAGCGCAGGGGUCAACAUUAGCAUUCUUCGAACCUACUUACGCCGUCCCCAUAUCGUUUGUCUAGAUUAUACAUAACUGCUAUUGGGAUAAUAUUUUAUACUUACUAACCAAGCACCAAAAAUAAGCGGCAGCAAAAUAUUUGUUAUGGUAAAUAUUUUCAUAGAAACAGUCUCUUCAUUUCCACAAGGUAGAGGUAAGGUUUGCGUACACACUAUCCUCCCUAGAUUUUACUAUGUAGGAUUAUAUCGAAUAUUUUAUUAUUGUUAUUAUUGAUAAAUAUUUUUCACGUACCAAACACACCCAAAAUGUUUCUACUUGCACUUGUAAGGAACAACAUUAUUGACUUAAAUCAUUGAUCAGCUCAGAAAUUAUUUGGAUUUAGUUUCUAUACAUCUGGUAGGCUUGACCUGGCGGUGGAGCAUAAAGGAGGUGAAGUAGGUUUGUCAUGGUAGUCCCUUUACUUUUCGUGGUAAAGACGUGGUCAAAUAUAAAGCUUUAGUUGCAAUACCAAAUAUAGAAAUGUAUACAAAUGAAGGUAGUUCUUGUUUUUUUUUCUUUCUUUCUUUCUGAAGGUUUUCUAUGUAAGCUAAAGAAGUUAUAAGAAAUACAAAAUGAUGUAACAUACUUUUUGAGUUAAAUUUAAGAUGCUUUUUGGUAAUUUAAACCAAUUGUUUUUGGUGAUCGAACAGAUUUUCAUAAAGGAUAGCUGAAUAUCUGACAAUCGCAUUUAUAAACUACUUGGAAGUUACUUGUGAAGUACAGCAUUUAUAACAUAUUGUAUAGCACCAUAACUUUGUAUAGAGAAAUGAAGAUUUAAUCACAGCAACAGCUUUUAUGGUAAUGAAAGGACCAGUUUAUUUAAUA